UCCUACGGGAGGCAGCAGUGGGGGAUAUUGCACAAUGGGGGAAACCCUGAUGCAGCAACGCCGCGUGAGUGAAGAAGGUCUUCGGAUUGUAAAGCUCUGUUCUUGGUGAAGAUAAUGACGGUAGCCAAGGAGGAAGCCCCGGCUAACUACGUGCCAGCAGCCGCGGUAAUACGUAGGGGGCAAGCGUUAUCCGGAUUUACUGGGUGUAAAGGGAGCGUAGACGGCGGCGCAAGUCCGGAGUGAAAGCCCACGGCCCAACCGUGGGACUGCUCUGGAAACUGUGCGGCUUGAGUGCGGGAGGGGCG
rnacentral:rRNA from 1 species